rnacentral:rRNA from 1 species
CUCUGCAAACACGAAAGUGGACGUAUAGGGUGUGAUGCCUGCCCGGUGCUGGAAGGUUAAUUGAUGGGGUCAGCCGCAAGGCGAAGCUCUUGAUCGAAGCCCCAGUAAACGGCGGCCGUAACAAUAACGGUCCUAAGGUAGCGAAAUUCCUUGUCGGGUAAGUUCCGACCUGCACGAAUGGCAUAAUGAUGGCGGCGCUGUCUCCAGCAGAGACUCAGUGAAAUCGAAAUCGCAGUGAAGAUGCUGUGUACCCGCGGCUAGACGGAAAGACCCCGUGAACCUUUACUACAGCUUUACAUUGAACUUUGACCUUACCUGUGUAGGAUAGGUGGGAGGCUUUGAAGCAGGCACGCCAGUGUCUGUGGAGCCAUCCUUGAAAUACCACCCUGGUAAUGUUGGGGUUCUAACUCAAGCUUAACAGAGCUGAGGACAAUGUAUGGUGGGUAGUUUGACUGGGGCGGUCUCCUCCUAAAGAGUAACGGAGG